GGACUACACGGGUUUCUAAUCCCGUUCGCUCCCCUGGCUUUCGCGUCUCAGCGUCAGUAAGGGUCCAGGGCCUCGCUUUCGCCACGGGCGUUCCUUCCGAUCUCAACGCAUUUCACCGCUCCACCGGAAGUUCCAGACCCCCCUACCCCCCUCCAGGCCGCCCGUAUCGGUGCCCCUUCCCCGGUUGAGCCGGGGGAUUUCAGCAGCCGACGCGGCGGCCCGCCUACACGCGCUUUAAGCCCAGUGAUUCCGAAUAACGUUCGCACGGUUCGUCUUACCGCGGCGGCUGGCAC
rnacentral:rRNA from 1 species